AACGCACAUUGCGCCCCUUGGUAUUCCAUGGGGCAUGCCUGUUCGAGCGUCAUUUGUACCUUCAAGCUCUGCUUGGUGUUGGGUGUUUGUCUCGCCGUUUGCGUGCAGACUCGCCUCAAAACGAUUGGCAGCCGGCGUAUUGAUUUCGGAGCGCAGUACAUCUCGCGCUUUGCACUCACAACGACGACGUCCAAAAAGUACAUUUUUUACACUCUUGACCUCGGAUCAGGUAGGGAUACCCGCUGAACUUAA
rnacentral:misc_RNA from 1 species